rnacentral:rRNA from 1 species
UACGUAGGGUGCGGGCGUAAUCGGAAUUACUGGGCGUAAAGCGCGUGUAGGCGGCUCGGUAAGUCUGCUGUGAAAGUCCAGGGCUCAACCCUGGGAUGCCGGUGGAUACUGUCGAGCUCGAGUCCGGAAGAGGCGAGUGGAAUUCCUGGUGUAGCGGUGAAAUGCGCAGAUAUCAGGAGGAACACCAAUGGCGAAGGCAGCUCGCUGGGACGUGACUGACGCUGAGACGCGAAAGCGUGGGGAGCAAACAGG